CAUGGGCUUCGUGGCCCAAUAAGGUCUCUCCCCUCUGUCUUUUCUUUCUUUCGCCUUCUUCGUUCUUCUUCUUCGUCUUCAGCUAAGUUUAGCUUCUGCUCAAUCUUCCCCCAAGCGAUAGAAGAACUAGAUGGAUCGAAGACAGCACGAUUACGCAGCACCUUCUGGGCUGCCUUAUGCUCAGCAACAAGUCCCCAACUUUCAACAACAACAACAACAGCAGCAAUUUGGAUUCCAUCCUCAGCAUCAACAGUAUCCACCACCACCAAUGAACGCUUCUAAUUUCAUGCCACCUCAUCCUUCUAUGCAGCAGCAGUUCCCUUACCAGCAGCAGCUUCACCACCCUCCUCACCCACAGAUGUUUAAUCAACAGCACCCUCCACAUCACCACCACCUUCCUCCCCCAUUCCCUGGACCUUAUGACUCAGCUCCUCCUCCUCCUCCUCCAGCUGACCCUGAGCUGCAGAAGCGUAUCGAUAAGCUUGUUGAGUAUUCCGUUAAGAACGGUCCUGAGUUUGAGGCUAUGAUGCGUGAUAGACAGAAGGAUAACCCUGAUUACGCGUUUCUCUUUGGCGGUGAAGGGCAUGGUUAUUACCGUUAUAAGCAGUUUAUCUCUAUGCAUCAUCCCCCUGGAGGACCUUUUGAUCCUCAGUUUCCCUCACCUUCUAUGCCUAUGAUGCAUCACCCCCCGCCGAAUCCCAUGAUGAGUCCUGGUGCUUUGGGAGUUCAGCCGAUUCGCCAGCCUCCUUUCCCACCGUUCCAUGACCACCAGCAGCAGCAUCAUCUUCCGCAGCCUCAUCCGUUUGCGCCGCCACCGCCUCAUCAUGCUCGUCCUGAUUUUGAUCAGUCAGUUCAUGCGUUCAGAGGUCUUUCUGGUCCACUCCCUGCUGAUGUUGCUGUGGAACUGAAUAGUGUGUUGGCCAACCUUAAUGGUACUAAAGAUUCUAUCAAAAGUGCUAAGAUUUGGUUCAUGCAAAGAUCUCCCUUUGCUCCGGCUUUGGCAGAGGCGCUUAGAGACAGGGUUUUUGCGACGGAUGAUUCUGAGAAGCAGAUGCACAUUGUUUAUCUCGCUAAUGACAUUCUCUUUGACAGUUUGCAACGGAGGACAAACUUGCACGAGUUUGACAACGAAGCGCUUGCAUUCAGACCUGUUUUGGGUUCCAUGCUGGGAAAGAUUUACCACUGUCCACAUAACAAGGAAGCAAACCAGUCACGUCUGGAGAACCUGUUGCAGUUCUGGGCUUCUAAGGAGGUUUUUGAUCAAGAUACCAUCUCCUCCCUUGAUAAAGAGAUGAGAAGUGGACCUCCUCCAAAUACCUUUUCUCGUUCACCUAUUAUAGCAGCAAACUCAUUGCAGCAUACAGGAAUGAUGCAACAGCCACAAAGCAGCCAUGUUCCUAGCACAAUGAACUUAGAGCAUCUGGCUAGUAAUCCAGUCGCAGGCCAACAGUUUAUCCCAAAUGCGAUUACUCCUGGUGCCUUUCCCGGUUCCAUGCCCUCUGUUCCACCUCCAACACAACCACCUGCUGGUGAGAAGCAGGCUCCUUAUCCUCUUUUCCCUCCUGGUCUAAUCCCUGGGAUGGUCAGGAAGAUGCAGGUCGGAAGUGGUGUGCCUUACUCCCCACUGAGCCCCCUUGACAUCCCCACCGUCAUACCACCGUCUGUUACACCUCAAUCUCAAGUACUCGAGAGAGUAUCAAAGUUCUUCAAAGAGAUAGGUGAGGUCAACCCGAGUGAAGGUCCCAUGGGAUCUGAAUCGCAAGAUGACUAUGAUGAUUACGAGCGGGAUAGUCCGGUGCGCAAAGGAGGUGCAUGCAUUCCUCCACCUGCUAAUCUACAGGUGGACCCUGAGACAGGAACGUAUGCGGAUGGAAGCACUGAUAAAAAGAGCACGUCCGGGAGAUUGGGACUUGGAGCAACAGCUGAUCCCAACGAACCAACUCAGUAUGAUGAUGUUUAUACAUCUUACAGGAAACACAGAAGUACGAAUUAUCACACAACCAUGAGUGCAAGAUCUACAGCCAGAUGAGAUUCAGUUCAACUUCUCAUCUUCUAAUGGCUACUCUCUACUUCAGUCUGUUUAGAGUUGCGAAAGUAAACCUUCUUGUCUUCUUAUUACUGUGACAAAAAUAUGAUUUUCUCAGCUUUGGAAAAGACUUAUCAGCACAUCCAUUUAUUCAGUUAAUUUUUUGCACUAAAC